rnacentral:rRNA from 1 species
CUACGGGGGGCUGCAGUGGGGAAUCUUCCGCAAUGGGCGCAAGCCUGACGGAGCAACGCCGCGUGAGUGAAGAAGGCCUUCGGGUCGUAAAGCUCUGUCUUUAGGGAAGAAAAACUAUGGUGAAAAUAUUGCCAUAGUCUGACGGUACCUGAGGAGGAAGCUCCGGCUAACUACGUGCCAGCAGCCGCGGUAAUACGUAGGGAGCGAGCGUUGUCCGGAAUUACUGGGCGUAAAGGGCGUGUAGGCGGGAAUUUAAGUAAGGUGUGAAAACUCCGGGCUCAACUUGGAGACUGCACUUUAAACUGGAUUUCUUGAGGGCAGGAGAGGAAAGUGGAAUUCCUAGUGUAGCGGUGAAAUGCGUAGAUAUUAGGAGGAACAUCAGUGGCGAAGGCGACUUUCUGGACUGCACCUGACGCUGAGGCGCGAAAGCAUGGGUAGCGAACAGGAUUAGAUACCCCGGUAGUC